GACAGAGGGUGCGAACGUUGUCCGGAUUUACUGGGCGUAAAGAGCGCGCAGGCGGUCGUUCAAGUCGCGUGUGAAAGCCCCCGGCUCAACUGGGGAGGGUCACGCGAUACUGAUCGACUCGAAGGCAGGAGAGGGUAGUGGAAUUCCCGGUGUAGUGGUGAAAUGCGUAGAUAUCGGGAGGAACACCAGUGGCGAAGGCGACUACCUGGCCUGUUCUUGACGCUGAGGCGCGAAAGCUAGGGGAGCAAACGGG
rnacentral:rRNA from 1 species